rnacentral:rRNA from 1 species
CCUACGGGUGGCAGCAGUGAGGAAUAUUGGGCAAUGGGCGCAAGCCUGACCCAGCAACGCCGCGUGAAGGAAGAAGGCCCUCGGGUUGUAAACUUCUUUUGUCAGGGACGAAGCAAGUGACGGUACCUGACGAAUAAGCCACGGCUGACUACGUGCCAGCAGCCGCGGUAAUACGUAGGUGGCAGGCGUUAUGCGGAUUUACUGGGUGUAAAGGGCGUGUAGGCGGGGAAGCAAGUCAGAUGUUAAAUUCCAGGGCUCAACCCUGGAACUGCAUUUGAAACUGUUUUUCUUGAGUGAUGGAGAGGCAUGCGGAAUGCCGGGUGUAGCGGUGAAAUGCGUAGAUAUACGGAGGAACACCAGUGGCGAAGGCGGCCUGCUGGACAUUAACUGACGCUGAGGCGCGAAAGCGUGGGGAGCAAACAGGAUUAGAUACCCUUGUAGUC